UGGGGGAUAUUGCACAAUGGGCGAAAGCCUGAUGCAGCGACGCCGCGUGGGGGAUGAAGGCUUUCGGGUUGUAAACCUCUUUCGCUAUCGAACAAGGCCCGCUUAGGGUGGGUUGAGGGUAGGUGGAGAAGAAGCGCCGGCUAACUACGUGCCAGCAGCCGCGGUCAUACGUAGGGCGCGAGCGUUGUCCGGAAUUAUUGGGCGUAAAGGGCUUGUAGGCGGCUUGUUGCGCCUGCUGUGAAAACGCGGGGCUUAACUUCGCGCGUGCAGUGGGUACGGGCAGGCUUGAGUGUGGUAGGGGUGACUGGAAUUCCAGGUGUAGCGGUGGAAUGCGCAGAUAUCUGGAGGAACACCGAUGGCGAAGGCAGGUCACUGGGCCAUUACUGACGCUGAGGAGCGAAAGCAUGGGUAGCGAACAGG
rnacentral:rRNA from 1 species